GGUAAUCCGAGACCUCAAGUAUGAAAAGGAAUCUAGCCCGGACGGGUGUUCCUUGAAUGAUCAAGCCUUCAGAAGAAAAUGUGUGCAUGAUGGAUUUAGCCUGGACGGGUAAUCCAAUUAGGGUCUGAAUUUAGCCUGGACUGGUAAUUCAGAUCUGAGCUCAUUAAGGGUGUUUGUCGUUAUAAGGGAUUUAACCUAGACUGGUAAUCCCGACAUCACCUUAUGAGUUCAUAUAAUAGGGGAUUUUGCCUGGAUUGGUAAUCCUGCC
rnacentral:lncRNA from 1 species